UACGGAGGGUGCAAGCGUUAAUCGGAAUUACUGGGCGUAAAGCGUGCGUAGGUGGUUUGUUAAGUCUGAUGUGAAAGCCCUGGGCUCAACCUGGGAAUGGCAUUGGAUACUGGCGAGCUAGAGUGCGGUAGAGGGUAGUGGAAUUCCCGGUGUAGCAGUGAAAUGCGUAGAGAUCGGGAGGAACAUCUGUGGCGAAGGCGACUACCUGGACCAGCACUGACACUGAGGCACGAAAGCGUGGGGAGCAAACAGG
rnacentral:rRNA from 1 species